UACGGGGGGGCAAGCGUUGUUCGGAAUUACUGGGCGUAAAGGGCGCGUAGGCGGACAUUUAAGUCAGAGGUGAAAGCCCAGGGCUCAACCUUGGAAUUGCCUUUGAUACUGGAUGUCUUGAGUUCGGGAGAGGUGAGUGGAAUGCCGAGUGUAGAGGUGAAAUUCGUAGAUAUUCGGCGGAACACCGAGUGGCGAAGGCGACUCACUGGCCCGAGUACUGACGCUGAGGCGCGAAGGCGUGGGGGAGCAAACAGGG
rnacentral:rRNA from 1 species